UACAGAGACCUCAAACGUUGUCCGGAUUCAUUGGGCGUAAAGGGUCCGCAGGCGGCUUCAUACGUCGAUGGUCAAAUCAUCGGGCUCAACCCGGUGGCUGCCGUCGAUACGGUGAGGCUCGAGCAUGGGAGAGGUAAGCGGAAUUGCCGGUGUAGUAGUAAAAUGCGUUCAUAUCGGCAAGAACACCAAAUGCGAAGGCAGCUUACUGGAACAUUGCUGACGCUCAGGGACGAAAGCGUGGGGAGCGAAAGGG
rnacentral:rRNA from 1 species